rnacentral:rRNA from 1 species
UCAGGAUGAACGCUAGCUACAGGCUUAACACAUGCAAGUCGAGGGGCAGCAUAUUGGUAGCUUGCUACCAAUGAUGGCGACCGGCGCACGGGUGAGUAACGCGUAUCCAACUUCCCCAUAGUAGGGCAUAGCCCGUAGAAAUGCGGAUUAAUACCCUAUGUAUUCCGAGGAUGACAUCUGAUUCGGAACAAAGGUUCACCGCUAUGGGAUGGGGAUGCGUCUGAUUAGGUAGUAGGCGGGGUAACGGCCCACCUAGCCGACGAUCAGUAGGGUUCUGAGAGGAAGGUCCCCCACAUUGGAACUGAGACACGGUCCAAACUCCUACGGGAGGCAGCAGUGAGGAAUAUUGGUCAAUGGGCGAGAGCCUGAACCAGCCAAGUAGCCGUGCAGGAUGACGGCCCUAUGGGUUGUAAACUGCUUUUAUACAGGGAUAAAGUCGGGGACGCGUUCCCCGUUUGCAGGUACUGUAUGAAUAAGGACCGGCUAAUUCCGUGCCAGCCGCAGC